rnacentral:rRNA from 1 species
AACGAACGCUGGCGGCGCGCCUAAUACAUGCAAGUCGAGCGAGAAGACGUAGCAAUACGUUUGUAAAGCGGCGAACGGGUGAGGAAUACAUGGGCAACCUACCCUCGAGUGGGGAAUAACUAGCCGAAAGGUUAGCUAAUACCGCGUACGCUCCUUGGACUUCGGUUCAGGGAGGAAAGCGAUACCGUGGGUAUCGCGCUCUUGGAUGGGCUCAUGUCCUAUCAGCUUGUUGGUGAGGUAACGGCUCACCAAGGCUUCGACGGGUAGCUGGUCUGAGAGGACGAUCAGCCACACUGGCACUGCGACACGGGCCAGACUCCUACGGGAGGCAGCAGUAAGGAAUAUUGCGCAAUGGGCGAAAGCCUGACGCAGCGACGCCGCGUGGGGGAUGAAGGUCUUCGGAUUGUAAACCCCCUUUCGGGAGGGAAGAUGGAACGAGCAAUCGUUCGCGGUACCUCCAGAAGCAGCCACGGCUAACUUCGUGCCAGCAGCCGCCGU